rnacentral:rRNA from 1 species
UACGUAGGGUGCGAGCGUUGUCCGGAAUUACUGGGCGUAAAGAGCUCGUAGGUGGUUUGUCGCGUUGUUCGUGAAAUCUCACGGCUUAACUGUGAGCGUGCGGGCGAUACGGGCAGACUUGAGUACUGCAGGGGAGACUGGAAUUCCUGGUGUAGCGGUGGAAUGCGCAGAUAUCAGGAGGAACACCGGUGGCGAAGGCGGGUCUCUGGGCAGUAACUGACGCUGAGGAGCGAAAGCGUGGGGAGCGAACAGGAUUAGAUACCCUGGUAGUCCACGCCGUAAACGGUGGGUACUAGGUGUGGGUUUCCUUCCCUUGGGAUCCGUGCCGUAGCUAACGCAUUAAGUACCCCGCCUGGGGAGUACGGCC